CGAACGCUGGCGGCAGGCUUAACACAUGCAAGUCGAGCGCCCCGCAAGGGGAGCGGCAGACGGGUGAGUAACGCGUGGGAACGUACCUUUUGCUACGGAAUAACUCAGGGAAACUUGUGCUAAUACCGUAUGUGCCCUUCGGGGGAAAGAUUUAUCGGCAAAGGAUCGGCCCGCGUUGGAUUAGCUAGUUGGUGAGGUAAAGGCUCACCAAGGCGACGAUCCAUAGCUGGUCUGAGAGGAUGAUCAGCCACACUGGGACUGAGACACGGCCCAGACUCCUACGGGAGGCAGCAGUGGGGAAUAUUGGACAAUGGGCGCAAGCCUGAUCCAGCCAUGCCGCGUGAGUGAUGAAGGCCCUAGGGUUGUAAAGCUCUUUCACCGGUGAAGAUAAUGACGGUAACCGGAGAAGAAGCCCC
rnacentral:rRNA from 2 species